rnacentral:lncRNA from 1 species
UUCGGUGCUGAAUGUACACUGUGGAUUGACUAAAAAUAUAUAUAUAUGCAUAGAAAUUGAAGUAGACUUAAUGUGGAAUGCAUAUUGUGAUUGUCAUGGAGUAUAUAUAUAUAUGUGUGUGGAUGUGGACAGGACGAAAACUGUAGAUUAUGCUUGUAUGAGAUGCAGAUGCGAUCUUGUGAUUGUCGUUUAGAUUGGGUGUCGUUACGCUAAAGUAUGACUGUGUGCUGGUGAUCUGAGGGGUGUAUUGACUGUAUAGUUUGAUUGACUGAUGUAUUAGUAUGUUAUUGACAGACAUAUGACCUAAGUGAGAUAAGUUGACUGUUAGGACGUUGAGAGAAAGAACUCUAUGUUUUGAAGUAUCUGAAGGAUGGGUUGAAUGGAAUGAGGGGAUAGAUUGUUAGGUUGUAUUGGGAUGAUUACCUUGUAGGUGUCCCACGGGAUCACCAAUUUAUUUUGCACCUUCGGGAGCAUUUGACUGAUAUGUGUUCUGCAGAACACUUGACUGAUAUGUGUUCUGCAGAACACUUGACUGAUAUGUACGUCCCUCGGGGCGUCAGACUGAUAUGUACGUCCUUCGGGGCGUUAGACUGAAAUGUGUAUCCUACGGGAUCACAAGACUGCGACUGUACAGGGUGUCCCAAUAGAACUUUAACAAUUUAUUUUCCCCUGACGAGACCAGUAGAGGGUCUCUUACUGAGUAUUGUUAUACUCACCCUUCUUAUGUUUAAUUUUCAGGCAAAGGUAAUAAAGGCGGCAAACCGGCGAGGGGCAGGAAGGAAGCGUGAUGCCAUAGGAAACGUGUAAUUGCUUCCGCUUAUUUAAGAUUGAUUUGAAAUUUAGUUUACAAACGUUUGUUGUAAACAGUAUUAUUUUAUACUUUCUUGAAUGUUUAAAAAUCAGGCCUGACUUGAAGAUGUUUUUUUUUUUUUUUUUUUUAAAUUGCUUAUGUUUUGUUUUAUAUUAAUCAGAGUCUUUUAUUUGUUAAAAACUAACGAUCUCGACUUACUUAGAAAAGUUGGGUCGUUACAGUUGGUAUCAGAGCCUAAGUUUUAGGUUCUGUAGACUGACUUACGAUGUAAGUCUAUGUUUUUGUGUUCCUAUGGCAAACGCGACCCUUCGUCUCUCGUCAGGUAUGCUUUAUGCUUAUAUGUAUGGUUUAUUUGCAUGACCUUGCCUAAAUUAAACUAGAUUGCAUGACGAUAAAGACUUGCUUAUGUUUAUGAUUAAGAUUUUGUUAAAGAGUGUUGUUGGUGGAUAAUAGGAAUUAUGCCGCCAAGGGAAGAAGUACGUAGAGGAGGUCGUAGAGGCCGAGGUAGAGGAGCAGGAGGCCGAGGUAGAGGAGCAGGUCGUAAUCAGCCUACUGAGGGUCAAGCUGAACAGCGAAUUCCUGCUGCACCCGUGACUCACGUUGAGUUUGAUGCACUGUCUGCUCACAUGGAGCAGAGGUUUACAGAACUUAUGACAGCCAUAGCUCAAAACCAGCAGGCACCUGCAGUCCCACCUGCACCUGUAGUUCCCCCUGCACCAGCAGCCCCUCCUGCACAAGAAUUACCUAACCAACUUUCUGCUGAGGCGAAACAUUUGAGGGACUUUCGGAAGUAUGACCCUCAGACGUUUGAUGGGUCACUGGAGGAUCCUACUAAAGCUGAAAUGUGGUUGUCCUCUGUGGAAACCAUAUUUAAUUACAUGAGAUGUCCUGAGGAGCACAGAGUUCAGUGUGCUGCUUUUCUACUGAGGGACAGAGGCAUUAUCUGGUGGAGGACUACCAUGCGCAUGCUAGGUGGAGAUGUGAGGCAGAUUACCUGGGAUCAGUUUAAGGACUGCUUCUAUACCAAGUUUUUCUCGGCUAACCUUAGAGACGCCAAAAGCCAGGAAUUCUUGGAGUUGAAGCAAGGAUAUAUGACAGUCGAGGAGUACGACCAGGAGUUUGAUAUGCUGUCACGUUUUGCCCCUGAGCUUGUUAGUAAUGAACAGGCUAGAGCUGAUAGGUUCGUCAAGGGAUUGAGAGAUGAAAUUAGGGGUUUUGUGCGAGCACUAAAGCCCACUACCCAAGCUGAAGCACUGCGUCUGGCAGUGGAUAUGAGUAUUGGGAAGGAUGAAAGACAGCCAAGGAGCUUUAAUAAGGGAUCGUCGUCGGGUCAAAAGAGAAAAGUAGAGCAGAGAACUGUAGGAGUUCCUCAGAGGAACAUGAGACCAGGUGAUUCUUUUCGCAGUUUCCAGCAGAGUUCUGGCGGUGCAGGAGACACUACUCAAGAGAGGCCAGUAUGUGAUACGUGUGGGAAACGCCACCUGGGUCGUUGUUUGAUGGGAACGAGAGUCUGUUAUAAGUGCAAGCAAGAGGGACACAUGGCUGAUAGGUGUCCCUUGAGAUCUACUGGGGCUGGAUCGAGCAGUCAGGGAGAGAGACCUCCACAGCGGGGUACAAUCUUUGCCACUAAUAGAUCAGAGGCAGAGAAGGCCGGCACAGUAGUGACAGGUACGUUACCAGUAUUGGGGCAUUUUGCCUUGACCUUGUUUGACUCGGGAUCUUCUCAUUCAUUUAUUUCAUCGCUUUUUGUGACGCAUGCAUGCUUAGAAGUGGAACCCUUAGACUAUGUUUUGUCAGUGUCUACACCGUCUGGAGAAAUUAUGUUGUCUAAGGAAAAGAUUAAAGCAUGUGAAAUUGAAAUAGCUGGUCGUGUACUGGACGUAACCUUGUUGGUAUUAGAUAUGCGUGACUUUGAUGUAAUUUUAGGUAUGGAUUGGCUAGCUACUAAUCAUGCUAGUAUUGAUUGUUCUCGUAAGGAAGUUGUGUUUAGUCCCCCUACUGCAUCUAGCUUUAAAUUCAAGGGAGUAGGAACAGUAGUACUGCCUAAAGUAAUCUCAGCUAUGAAAGCUAGUAAACUACUCAGCCAGGGUACUUGGAGUAUUUUGGCAAGUGUGGUGGAUACUAGGGAAGGUGAGACUUCUUUAACUUCAGAACCUGUGGUAAGAGAAUACCCAGAUGUAUUUCCAAAAGAUCUUCCAGGACUGCCGCCACAUAGAGAGGUUGAUUUUGUCAUUGAGUUGGAGCCAAACACUACUCCUAUUUCUAGAGCCCCUUAUAGGAUGGCUCCUGCUGAGUUGAAAGAACUGAAGGUACAGUUACAGGAAUUGCUUGACAAAGGCUUUAUUCGACCUAGUGUGUCACCUUGGGGUGCACCAGUAUUGUUUGUGAAGAAGAAGGAUGGGUCGAUGCGUCUUUGCAUUGACUAUAGAGAGUUGAAUAAAGUAACAGUCAAGAACAGGUAUCCUUUACCCAGAAUCGAUGAUUUGUUCGAUCAGUUACAGGGAGCCACGGUGUUCUCUAAGAUUGACUUACGGUCAGGUUAUCACCAGUUGAGGAUUAGAGACCGUGAUAUUCCUAAGACUGCCUUUCGUUCGAGGUAUGGACAUUAUGAAUUCAUAGUGAUGUCUUUUGGUUUGACUAAUGCACCUGCUGUAUUUAUGGAUUUGAUGAACAGGGUGUUUAAGGAUUUCUUGGACACUUUUGUGAUAGUCUUCAUUGAUGAUAUCUUGGUUUAUUCCAAGACUGAAGUCGAACAUGAGGAACAUUUACAUAAGGUAUUAGAGACUCUUCGAGCCAAUAAACUGUAUGCUAAGUUCUCGAAGUGCGAAUUUUGGUUGAAGCAGGUGGCUUUUCUUGGUCAUGUGGUUUCCAGUGAGGGAGUUUCAGUAGACCCUGCAAAGAUAGAAGCUGUUACCAGUUGGUCUCGACCCUCCACAGUUGGUGAGGUUCGUAGUUUUCUGGGUUUAGCAGGGUACUACCGGAGGUUUGUGGAGGAUUUUUCACGUUUGGCUACUCCUUUGACUCAGUUGACAAGGAAGGGAACUCCGUUUGUUUGGAGUCCAGCUUGUGAGGAUAGUUUUCAGAACCUUAAGCAAAGGUUAGUUACUGCACCGGUCCUUACUGUACCAGAUGGAUCUGGAAGUUUUGUGAUUUACAGUGAUGCUUCCAAGAAAGGACUGGGUUGUGUUUUGAUGCAGAAAGGUAAGGUGGUUGCUUAUGCCUCUCGUCAGUUGAAGAGUCACGAGCAGAACUACCCCACACAUGAUUUGGAGUUGGCAGCAGUGGUUUUUGCAUUGAAGAUAUGGAGACAUUACUUGUACGGUGAAAAGAUACAAAUCUUUACUGACCAUAAGAGCCUAAAGUACUUCUUCACUCAGAAGGAGUUGAAUAUGAGACAGCGAAGGUGGCUCGAGUUGGUAAAAGAUUAUGACUGUGAGAUAUUAUACCAUCCUGGUAAGGCGAAUGUGGUGGCUGAUGCUCUUAGUAGAAAAGCAUCACAUUCGGCAGCACUCAUUACUAGACAGGUACCAUUGCAUCGAGACUUGGAGAGAGCUGAGAUUGCAGUGUCUGUGGGGAGAGUCACCUCACAGCUAGCUCAAUUAACGGUGCAACCGACUCUGAGGCACAAGAUUGUUGAUGCUCAGAGUAAUGAUCCUUAUUUGAUGGAGAGACGUAGCCUUGUUGAAACAGGGCAGACUGAUGAGUUCUCCAUAUCCUCUGAUGGUGGGUUGAUGUUUGAGAGACGUUUAUGUGUGCCAGCGAACAGUACAGUUAAGAUUGACUUACUAGAUGAAGCCCAUAAUUCCCCAUUUUCCAUGCAUCCUGGUAGCACGAAAAUGUAUCAGGAUCUAAAACGAUUUUAUUGGUGGCGGAAUAUGAAGAGAGAAGUGGCGGAAUUUGUUAGUAAGUGUCUAGUAUGUCAGCAAGUUAAGGCACCUAGACAGAAACCAGCAGGUUUACUACAACCUUUAAGUGUGCCAGAGUGGAAGUGGGAGAAUGUGUCGAUGGAUUUUAUUUCAGGGCUGCCUAAGACCCUGAAGGGUUUCACAGUGAUUCUGGUUGUCAUAGACAGGCUUACAAAAUCGGCACAUUUUGUACCAGGAAAAUCCACUUAUACUGCUAGUAAGUGGGCAGAGUUGUAUUUAACUGAGAUUGUGAGACUGCAUGGAGUGCCUGUAUCGAUUGUUUCUGAUAGGGAUGCACGGUUUACUUCCAAGUUUUGGAAGGGACUUCAGACUGCUAUGGGUACGAGAUUGGAUUUCAGUACAGCCUUUCAUCCACAGACUGAUGGUCAAACUGAACGUUUGAACCAAGUUUUAGAGGAUAUGCUACGAGCUUGUGUUAUAGAGUUUCCAGGUAGUUGGGACUCUCAUCUACAUUUGAUGGAGUUUGCUUAUAACAACAGUUUCCAGGCUACCAUCGGUAUGGCACCAUUUGAGGCUUUAUAUGGCAAAUGUUGUAGAACCCCUGUUUGUUGGAGUGAGGUUGGUGAACAUAGAUUGAUGGGACCUGAAUUAGUUCGGUCUACUAAUGAGGCUAUUCAAAAGAUUAGAGCACGUAUGCAAACAGCGCAGAGUAGACAGAAGAGUUAUGCGGAUGUACGACGAAAAGACCUUAAGUUCGAUGUGGGAGAAAAGGUAUUCUUGAAGGUAGCACCUAUGAAGGGUGUUAUGCGUUUUGAGAAGAAAGGAAAGUUAAGUCCUCGUUUUGUUGGACCAUUUGAGAUCUUAGAGAGGGUUGGUGUUGUGGCGUAUCGCUUGGCAUUACCACCAUCUCUCUCUGCAGUUCAUAAUGUUUUUCAUGUUUCGAUGUUGAGGAAGUAUGUGGCCGAUACGUCUCAUGUAGUGGACUAUGAACCCUUGGAGAUUGAUGAGCAUUUGAGCUAUGUAGAACAACCUGUGGAGAUUCUGGCUAGAGAGGUAAAGAUGCUUCGUAAUAGAAGCAUUCCAUUAGUAAAGGUUUUGUGGCGGAAUCAUCGAAUUGAAGAGGCGACAUGGGAGCGAGAGGAAGAAAUGAGGACUCGUUAUCCAGAGUUAUUUCAGGAUUAGAACUUUCGAGGACGAAAGUUUCUUAAGGAGGGAAGAAUGUAAUGCCCCAAAGGUAUGUAUAUAUAUAUUUUUUUUUAAUUUUAUAUAUAUAUAUAUAUAUUUAUACUUAAUUUAAAUAAAAAGAAAAGAAAAAGAAAUUUAUCUCUCUCUCUCGCGCGCACACAACCCCUCUCUCAUUUUUCUUUUCUUCUCCUUCCGGUACCCUAGCAGCCGCCCACCCAUUUUCCCUAUUCUUCUUCCCGUCCUGCCGCAGCCAACCGCAGUCAGCCGCCCCAUCCGUUCGCACAGCAACUGCCGUCGGCCAUCUCCAUCUUCUCUUUUCCUCUCCGUUUCGUCCAAACCCAGCCGGACGUCGCUGCAACCGUCGGCCGCCAUCUCUGUUCGCGAAGCAAGGCCGCCGCGUGAACCUGUAACCGCCGGCUGUCUCCCCUCUCCUUUCUCCUCUGUUUUCAGCCCAGCCGCCGCCGAUUCCUUCUCCUCCGUCGUCUGCACUGCCGCGCGACUCUCCGGCCAUCUGUAUACGGUCUCUCCGUCGCACGUCAUCUCUUCGCAAAGCCACUGCUCGAUUUCUUUCGCGAAGAUUUGGGUAAGUUGCAAAAAGAUUCACAUUGGGUUGAAUUUAAAUGACUGAUGCGUUGAAGGGAAUUAUUGAGAAAUUGUCUUAAUGUUUAGGUUCGUUCUUCAUAGACUUCAACGUGGUUAAGGAGCUUAACAAAUUUGAAGGUAAGGGAUUUUCUACUGGACUCACUUAUGAUUGUGAAUUGCAUGUCUGAAUGAUUAUCUUUGACUGAGUAAAGAUGUUGAGAUGAUACUUAUGUUUAUACACGUAUGGGUGUAGAUUCGGUGCUGAAUGUACACUGUGGAUUGACUAAAAAUAUAUAUAUAUGCAUAGAAAUUGAAGUAGACUUAAUGUGGAAUGCAUAUUGUGAUUGUCAUGGAGUAUAUAUAUAUAUGUGUGUGGAUGUGGACAGGACGAAAAUUGUAGAUUAUGCUUGUAUGAGAUGCAGAUGCGAUCUUGUGAUUGUCGUUUAGAUUGGGUGUCGUUACGCUAAAGUAUGACUGUGUGCUGGUGAUCUGAGGGGUGUAUUGACUGUAUAGUUUGAUUGACUGAUGUAUUAGUAUGUUAUUGACAGACAUAUGACCUAAGUGAGAUAAGUUGACUGUUAGGACGUUGAGAGAAAGAACUCUAUGUUUUGAAGUAUCUGAAGGAUGGGUUGAAUGGAAUGAGGGGAUAGAUUGUUAG